UUGUUGGAUUAAUUUGAUUACACGCUUUAGGUCUUAUUUUUUUCUUUCCACUGAUUUAGCGUUAGGUUAAGUGUUUUCACACUUUCGCUUCAGUCUGACAUUUGCUUGGUGUGUGAGGGCACAGAGACGUGUAUGGACCGUGUGUUUGACUGUGUUUGUUUUGUUUGUUUGUUUAUUUAUCUAUAUGGGCAUGGCCGAGCCUUGAGAAACAUCAACAAAGCCAUUGGACUAUUCUGAGUAAAUUGACCAAUUCAAAUUCAGGAUCCUGAAACAAUUUGGCUAUAACCUCUAACUGAUGAAGGACAUCUUAAGAAUUCAUUGUACAAGGCUUCCUCUCCAGUGUUGCCAGAACUGUUAUAAAACCCAUGCAUGGUUGUAUAUUUUAGUUUGAUCAUUUAUACUCAUUGAAUUAUUGUUGUUUGCUUUAUGUUUUAAUUUCUUUGUAAUUUUUUCUCUGUGACACAGGUGGAGAUGCUGGUGGCAAAGUGGAUCCCACUCAUUUCUUUCUCCCACACACAUUCUUACUCUCUCCCUCUCUCUCUGUGUAUGUGCAUGUGUAUGUGUUUGUGUGUCCGUGUGUGUUCAUGUCGUGAUGUCACUGUACCUUUAAUUGCGCUUGCUGUUUGUAACUGUAUGUGUCUGAUGUUGAAGGUAUCAGAGGCUAGGGUCAGUAAGAGCUAGGACAUUUUUGUGCAUAACCUUUAAUCCCUAGGCGAUCGGUUCGGGGAACUUCUGGUCCGGCCGGAGUGUGAAUCUUCCUACCAACUAUCUGCCAAGAUCAAUUGGACUGCACAAGCCGAGAAAGCCUUCAUUGGACCAAAACCACACAUGAAGAUACUUCGCCUUCGGUGCCAGGCGUCGUCUGGGUCCUGCUGAAGGUCACCAAAAGAAAGUGGACGGAACCAAGGUGGACCGGGCCAUACAGGAUCACAGAGAGGACGUCACACGCUGUCCGGCUGGACGGGAGGAGCCUAACCUGGAAGAGAAGCAGCCGACAUCUGCCUGACCAGAAAAAGUACCCAAGGACCAGGACGAGAAGCAGCCGACAUCUGCCUAACCAGAGAAAGGAUCCAAAAACCAGGAAGAGAAGUAGCUGACUACAGUAGCAUGCCAAGCUGCCACCACAUCCUGCAGGACGAGAAUCUUGACAUCAUCACCCCCUGCAGCUGCCUGGAGCCAGUGAAAGGACCUCAACAGGGGGAAGAAGUAACCACCCUACGAACAUUCUACAAGGGUUCUAUUUAACACCCUCAUUUAUUUUAGAAGGGUUAUAUUUAACACCCUCCAUUUAUUUUAUCUGGGUUCUAUUUUACACCCUCAUUUAUUUUACAAGGGUUAUAUUUUAUACCCACUACUCAUUUUAUAUUAUUAUUCAUUUACCUGUUUAGUAUUAGAUAUAUGUUUACACUCAUUGCAUUUCCAAACUCAAUUCUGAAUGUACAGAUUGAUCACCAUUGCCAUCUCUCCUCCACCUGCUGACCCAAUUAUCCAGAUGCCCUUGUUACUAGCCAAUCCUAACAUCUAUUUGGGAGGGGAACCCUCUGAUGAUAGUGAUGACUCUCAUGAUGAAGAAGAUGAUGUUAGAGUGUGAGAAUGUUCAGUGAUUUAUGUAACAAUCCCUUCACCUGUUCAUUUCUAUGAGUUUUUUGAUUGUGUUGUUUUUAUUUUUUUGAUCAUUGAUGUCCUAGGCAUGCCCACUCUGUGCCAAAAGGUGUUCGCCCCAAAAUGGGGGGACAUGGGGGAAUUUUCCCUAUUAACGUACGACAAUUAGGGUUUUUCGCCCUCAUACGGUGAGCAUGCGAUCCAUUCAUGUUGUAACAUGUUCAGUUAAAAAUAUGAUCAUGUUUUUUGUAUUACUUUACUGCUGGAAAUAUGAGAAGCUGUAAUCUGAUUGAUUGUUUGUAUUUGUAUUUUAAAACUUUGCUUAUUGGAUUCUUUUUGAUGGAAUUUGGUGUUAUUGUUUUGAUUUCUUAUAUCUUUAUUGAACUCUUAAAAGAGUUCAAAAGGGGGAUUGAAAAUAUAUGUAACUCUCAUAUAAGCUCUUUUAUUAUUCAUUGUUAUAUGAUACUUUUUUCAUUAUGGAAUCAUGUUAUAAUAUCAAAGGCCUCUCUGUGCUUCUCUCCUGCAUGAGCUCUAAACAGCUGCAGGAACUCCAAAAGGGAGUGAAAGUGUUCCUUCCUUCAGUUCCUCAAUACAAGAACAACUGUCUUUGUUAGCAAAGGAUGUUGCAGGAUGUGUCCUGGUCAUCUCAAGGUUGCAUGUCCUUGGGAUGAAUUGGUCUUUCAUUAACAAGGCUAUUAGCUGACGUGCGUCUACAGGUGCAGAUGGCAGAAUUGCGUGUGUGUAUGGCAAACUGCGUAUGUUACAUUCCUGUGCUUUUCAAUAAAAAUCAGCCGUUUCAGCAGAACGGCGAGAGUCUGUCCGAAGCAACUGACGGGAGCAGGUCGCGGGACCUGCUGUAUGUUGCAAAGGCUCUCCCCCUCAUGAGCGGUGAAAACAGUGA